UACAGAGGUCCCAAGCGUUGUUCGGAUUCACUGGGCGUAAAGGGUGCGUAGGCGGUUGGGUAAGUCUGAUGUGAAAUCUCACAGCUUAACUGUGAAACUGCAUUGGAUACUAUCCAACUCGAGGAAUGGAGGGGAGACUGGAAUACUUGGUGUAGCAGUGAAAUGCGCAGAUAUCAGGAAGAACACCCGUGGCGAAGGCGGCUCUCUGGGACGGUACUGACGCUGAGACGCGAAAGCGUGGGGAGCGAACAGG
rnacentral:rRNA from 1 species